UCAAGUGACUAAGUGCAUGCGGCGGAUGCCUUGGCGAUCACAGGCGAAGAAAGACGCGGCAGCCUGCGAAAAGCUGCGGGGAGCUGGCAAACGAGCUUUGAUCCGCAGAUAUCUGAAUGGGGGAACCCACACCGCAAGGUGUAUCCGUAACUGAAUACAUAGGUUACGGAGGCGAACGAGGAGAACUGAAACAUCUAAGUAUCCUCAGGAAAAGAAAUCAACCGAGAUUCCGGCAGUAGCGGCGAGCGAACCCGGAGGAGCCUAGCUUUUGAUAGUACGAACUUUAGCCGAAAGGUCCUGGAAAGGCCUGCUAUAGUGGGUGAUAGCCCCGUAGGCGAAAGAGUUGGUACGGUACUAAGGAAGCGAGAAGUAGAGCGGGACACGUGGAAUCCUGUUCGAAGACGGGGGGACCAUCCUCCAAGGCUAAAUACUCGUGAUCGACCGAUAGUGAACCAGUACCGUGAGGGAAAGGCGAAAAGAACCCCGGGAGGGGAGUGAAAUAGAACCUGAAACCGCAUGCAUACAAACAGUAGGAGCCUUUACGGAGGUGACUGCGUACCUUUUGCAUAAUGGGUCAGCGACUUACAUUCUGUGGCGAGCUUAACCGAAUAGGGGAGGCGCAGCGAAAGCGAGUUCGAAAUGAGCGUCCAGUCGCAGGGUGUAGACCCGAAACCAGAUGAGCUAUCCAUGGCCAGGUUGAAGGUGUGGUAACACACACUGGAGGACCGAACCGACUAGUGUUGCAAAAUUAGCGGAUGAGCUGUGGAUAGGGGUGAAAGGCCAAACAAAUCUGGAGAUAGCUGGUUCUCCCCGAAAACUAUUGAGGUAGUGCCUCGUGUGUCGCUCCAGGGGGUAGAGCACUGUUUUGGCUAGGGGGACAUGGAGUCUUACCAAACCAAGGCAAACUCCGAAUACCUGGAAGCGUAAGCACGGGAGACAGAGCACCGGGUGCUAACGUCCGGACUCAAAAGGGAAACAACCCAGACCGCCGGCUAAGGUCCCAAAUAACAGCUAAGUGGAAAACGAAGUGGAAAGGCCGUGACAACCAGGAAGUUGGCUUAGAAGCAGCCAUCCUUCAAAGAAAGCGUAAUAGCUCACUGGUCGAGUCCUUCUGCGCGGAAGAUGUAACGGGGCUAAGCUGUUAACCGAAGCCGCGGAUGCACUGGUUAUCCAGUGCGUGGUAGGGGAGCGUUCUGUAAGUCUGCGAAGGCGGUUCGAGAGGACUGCUGGAGAUAUCAGAAGUGCGAAUGCUGACAUGAGUAACGUUAAAGCAGGUGAAAAGCCUGCUCGCCGUAAGCCCAAGGAUUCCUGCUCUACGUUCAUCGGAGCAGGGUGAGUCGGCUCCUAAGGUCAGGCCGAAAGGCGUAGCCGAUGGGAAUCAGGUUAAUAUUCCUGAACCUGCGUCAGAUGCGAUGGGGGGACGGAGCAUGGAAGAUCAUCCGGGUGUUGGAAGUCCCGGUUGUUGAGCGUAGGAGGUCUGCAGGCAAAUCCGCAGACGCAUCUCCAAGGCAAAGACACGUGCCGCCACGGCGGCGAAGUGAUCGGAAGUGCUUCCAAGAAAAGCCUCUAAGCACCAGUCUGACGCGGACCGUACCGCAAACCGACACUGGUGGGCGAGCUGAAUAUGCUCAGGCGCUUGAGAGAACUCGGGAGAAGGAACUCGGCAAAUUGACACCGUAACUUCGGAAGAAGGUGUGCCGUAGUACCGUGAGAGGAGAGACACCUUGAGCGGGAAACGGUCUCAGAGAAUAGGUGGCUGCGACUGUUUAUUAAAAACACAGCACUCUGCAAAGUCGAAAGACGACGUAUAGGGUGUGAUGCCUGCCCGGUGCUGGAAGAUUAAUUGAUGGGGUGAGAGCCCUUGAUCGAAGUCCCAGUAAACGGCGGCCGUAACUAUAACGGUCCUAAGGUAGCGAAAUUCCUUGUC
rnacentral:rRNA from 1 species